GAUGAACGCUGGCGGCGUGCCUAAUACAUGCAAGUCGAGCGAACCUACCAGGAGUUUUCUCCUCUGACGUUAGCGGCGGACGGGUGAGUACCAUGUGGAUAACCUACCUCUAAGACUGUGAUAACUUUGCGAAAUCGGCGCUAAUACCGGAUAAUAUAUUGAACCUCAUGCUUCCCUCGUGAAAUUCGGUUUUUCUGUCACUUAUUGAUGGACCCGCGCCGCAUUAGCUAGCUGGUAAGGUAACGGCUUACCAAGGCUACGAUGCGUAGCCGACCUGAGAGGGAGGUCGACCAGACGGGAAGUGAGACAGAGUAGAGACACCUACAGGGGGACGCAGUAGAGAAUCUUACGCAAUGGGCGAGAGCGGGACGGAGCAAAGCCGCGGAAGGGAUGAAGGUCUUAGGAUCGUAAAACUCUGAUAGUAGGAAAGAAGAAAUGUGUAAGUAACGAUGCACGUAAUGACGGUACCUGAUCAGAAAGCCACGGCUAACUACGUG
rnacentral:rRNA from 1 species